CACACGGCUCCUGUUGCCAGGGUUACCAUUUGCUUUGUCUCUUUGUUCUGUGUGACUGCUUCCUGUAAGUCUGGCGAUGGAGAGAACCAGAUGAAGAAACCAAGCUGCAACCACAGGAGCUUCAAAAGAUAACAAAAGCUUCCAGAGGUCCAAUGAUGGGAGGACAUGGUGGAACGGGCAGCCACUAUAGCCAAGUCUGGGAAGGAGUCAGCCCUCAAGAGCAAACUCAUCGAUCAGCUUGCCACAUUCAGAAGUGAACUUGAUGAGAAGAAUGCUUUUAGCUACCACUUUAAGUUUGAUCUCAUACUGCUCUGGAAUCAAGAACUAGAAAGAACCUUGGGGAAUCAUCUUUCCAAUCUCUUUAUCUCCAAGAUGAGGCACAGGAAAAGGAUGAAGUGACUUUUCCCAAUGUUACAUGGAGCAUGCUUGCCUGGGUUCUGGAUGAUGGACAUUGCUUUCUCAUUUUCCCAGCCAUCAAUGGAGCAAAACAAGGUUGUGUCCUUGCUCAAUGCUUUUUAGCCUGGUGUUUUCAGCCAUGUUGUCAAAUAAAGAUGAGUGCAGUAUCAAGGUCAGUUACAGCACUGAUGCUAAAUUCUUCCACUUGUAAAGGCUAAAAGCCAAGAAUAAAGUGGAGGGAGGGUUGGUGCAUGAUUUUUUGUUUGCUGAUGAUUGUGCAUUCAAAGCAGCCUCUAAAGCUGAGAUGCAACAAAGUAUGGAUCAAUUCUCUGCUGCUUGUGCUAAUUUUGGCCUAACAAUUAACUCAAAGAAAACACAGGUGCUCCAUCAGCCAGCACCAUACUAUCCCUAGGAAGAACCACUGGU